GCACUGCUGAGGAGUCCCAUGUUAGGGCGAAACGGCCGUCCAGUGC
rfam:Schistosoma curassoni strain Dakar, Senegal genome assembly, scaffold: SCTD_scaffold0004076